UGUGAGAUGCAGUGUAUGGAAUGUCAAAUUUCUAGUAUGAGAAAUUAACGAUUUAAGUCCUUCUUAAAUGAGGCCAUUUACCCAAAGAGGGUGCCAGGCCCGUAUAACGUUAAUGAUUACUAGAUGGCAUUUCCAAAGAGUCGUGUUGCUUGAUAGUGCAGCACUAAGUGGGUGGUAAACUCCAUCUAAAACUAAAUAUAACCAUGAGACCGAUAGUAAACAAGUACCGUGAGGGAAAGU
rnacentral:rRNA from 2 species